CCACCCAAACUCUUGAGAGAGGAUCUGGGAGCGCACCUUAGGAUCAUCACGUGGGCCAAUGCGGCCAUCAUCAAUUGCCUCAGCAAGACCCUCCUCCAGGGGGCGCGCUUCCAUGUACAGACGGUUGUGCUUGUUAGGUGACUUGCUCAUGACAGUGCGGCAGGACUUCUCAAGAACGGUUUCACGGAAGGACACAACAGGAGGAGAAACAAUAAUUUCAGCACCUCCCAUGAAGUCCUCUUGCAGAUCCUUCAGGCAAAUCUCAAGAUGAAGCUCACCAGCUCCAGCAAUGAUAUGCUCACCAGAUUCUUCCAUUGUACACAGAAC
rnacentral:lncRNA from 1 species